rnacentral:rRNA from 1 species
CAAAGCACUUUGAAGAGAGAGUUAAAGAGGACGUGAAACCGGUAAGGUGGAAACGGAUAGAGUCGGCGUAUCAUUCAAUUAUUCAGUUACAUUAUUUUUAUGUUGUGACCUCUGAGCUCCAGAUUGGGACAGAGGGAAUCAGCAUAAUUUUUUGUGGUGCAUUUACUUGAUUGGUGCUUGGGGAUGUUUGAGGCAGAUUUGUUUCCGUCGUUUUGAGGCCAGCUUGCUGGUACCCAAACGGUGUUAGCAUUUUUUGUCUUGGGCAUUUGAGUAUGGCUCACGUGUAUUUAUUGGACAGAUCUGAGUGUAAGUUACGGUCGCAUGCGACACGUGCUUUUCAAUUAGUUCGGUCCAGUUAAUGCUCUCGUACUCGUUCCCCAUGUAAAAGCCGGUCAUCUAUCCGACCCGUCUUGAAACACGGACCAAGGAGUUUAUCGUGUGCGCAAGUUUUUGGGUGUUAAAAACUUAAAAGCGAAAUGAAAGUAAAUGACUCUUUAGAGUCUGAUGUGCGAUCUUGUAAAAAAGUGUAGCAUGGCCCCAUUCUAACUGUUUACAGUAGGGUGGCGGAAGAGCGUACGCGGUGAGACCCGAAAGAUGGUGAACUAUUCCUGAGCAGGACGAAGCCGGAGGAAACUCUGGUGGAAGUCCGAAGCGGUUCUGACGUGCAAAUCGAUCGUCUGACUUGGGUAUAGGGGCGAAAGACUAAUCGAACCAUC